GGUCCCAUAGCUCAGUCGGUUAGAGCGUCGUGCUAAUAUAUAUACUUACGUUCUUAAGUAUCUAUGUAAACGCGAAGGUCGCGAGUUCGACCCUCGUUGGGACCA